GCGGAAGGUGGUGAGGUGGGGGGUGCUGGGGGUCCCGGGGACACUCACAGAGGGAGGAGCAGCGGCACGGGUCGUGCUUGUCCAGUUCUGCCUUUCUGCAGGGUCCAGCCCAGGGCAGGAUCCGGCCACUCCGGUUCCCAUCCGGGGCAGCAGCUGAGUGACAAGCACCAAGUCAUUGGUCUCGAACAUGAGGACGUCCUGGAUGCCGAGGUCCUGCCGGCACCACUGGAUGAAGUUGGAGACGUUAUCCCGGGCGAUGAAGGACCCGGGCACCACGU